rnacentral:tRNA from 1 species
UGGGAGCUCAGUGGUAGAGCGUCCGACCGGUUGUGGCAGAAGGUCAUAGGUUCGACUCCUGUUGGGAGAA